ACAACGAGUAAUACGUUUCGCGCUCCUCGUAAUAACUAUCCAAAAUGCCAUCGUGUGUAUUUAGAAAGUGUACCAAUUACGAUACCAAAGUUAAUAAAACACAAGGGAUCUCAUACCACAUGUUUCCAACUUCAGAGAUUCAGCUUCAAGAAUGGAUCGCAAUUGUUCGUAAACAAGAAGUGAAUGCAGUUGGACGCCUUCGUAAUGAAUUUGUUAGACUAACGUGCGGUGAUUGGUGGCCCGAAUAAUAUUUGUUUAAAUUCACGCGCAAUUAAAACAUCUUGUUGUCUCUUUUA